GACGAACGCUGGCGGCGUGCUUAACACAUGCAAGUCGAACGGAAAGGCCCUGCUUUUGUGGGGUGCUCGAGUGGCGAACGGGUGAGGAACACGUGAGUAACCUGCCCUUGACUUUGGGAUAACUUCAGGAAACUGGGGCUAAUACCGGAUAGGAGCUCCUGCUGCAUGGUGGGGGUUGGAAAGUUUCGGCGGUUGGGGAUGGACUAGCGGCUUAUCAGCUUGUUGGUGGGGUAGUGGCUUACCAAGGCUUUGACGGGUAGCCGGCCUGAGAGGGUGAACGGCCACCAUGGGACUGCGAUACGGCCCAGACUCCUACGGGAGGCAGCAGUGGGGAAUAUUGCACAAUGGGCGGAAGCCUGAUGCAGCAGCGCCGCGUGCGGGAUGACGGCCUUCGGGUUGUAAACCGCUUUCGCCUGUGACGAAGCGUGAGUGACGGUACUGGGUAAAGAAGCACCGGCUAACUACGUG
rnacentral:rRNA from 1 species